GUUGAGUUACAGGUGUGUCUGCAGGGAGGACUUCUCAGGCUCCAGGGCUGGAUGCUUGGCCCCAACCCAGCUCCCAUGGCAGGGGUCCUCCAAAAGGAAAGACCCAAGAUACUGCAGCCAAAACAUCUCAUGAGGCAGAUGAAUUCCUGAGACAAACACAGAAGCAAGCACCCCGAGGACAAGUGAUGGACCAAAAGGCUGUUCAGGAGGAGGAACACUCAGGGAGAAGCAGUGGCUCAUUGGCAGCCCUCGCUGCAGGAAGGAAGGCGAUGCCAGACACGGG